AUGUUCGCCUCAUCUGUGGGGACGGAGGCGGCGGCGGUUGUCAGGAAGAUGGUGAACCUCAGCUCCCCUCCCCGGCGGUGCUGCAGCAGCAAGAUGGUGAAGGGACGCACCGGCCAGCGCGUGAGGCUCUAUGUUCGUGGCACCAUCCUCGGAUACAAGAGAUCGAGGCAGAUCCAAGUGAACACCAGGGAGGACGUGGCCUGGUACGGCGGCAAGAGGAUGGCCUGCGUCUACAAGGCCAAGACCAAGCAACGACACCAACUACCACUACAUCUGGGGCAAGGUCUCCCUCUCCCACGGAAACACUAG
rnacentral:rRNA from 1 species